GUGCGGAGCCCGGCUGUCUUGUGUGACAGGUGACCGUGGUGCAAGCGUGCAUGGAGGCAGGGAAGUGGCAGAGGGUGUGGAUAACAUGAGCUGUGCGCCCGGACGGAUGUUCGAUGAAGGCCUCAGCAAGCCAGUGGAGAUCACGGAAAGGACAGCCUGCUCACCCUCUAGAGGCUCUCUGCAGGUGUGUGGGGACACCGGGACCCGCGCAGGAUGCUGUGGCUUCAUGUUGGGCACCCCAGAGGCUCACGUGAGAAGGUGGGGUCCCCGGGUGGACUCCUAGGAGCUGUGGGUCAGUGGGGGCCUUGGGCAAGGGUUGGGGCCUCAGAGGGGAGGCGAGACCCGGCUCAGCCCUCUCCCUACUCCUGGCUCAGACAUUUCUCACCAGGGGUCCCCAGCAGCUCAGCUAUCUGGAGGUCAGAAGCAAACAGCCCUUUCUCUUUGGGAGUCAGGGUUUCAGGGGUUGGCUGUAGUAACGUGCAGCUGGCAAAUAUAAGGCUGCACUGGGGCCAGUGGGUGCCAGACCCAGGAGGAGAGAGCAGAUGGGAGAGCCACCCGGGUUGA
rnacentral:lncRNA from 1 species